CCUACGGGAGGCAGCAGUGAGGAAUAUUGGUCAAUGGGCGCGAGCCUGAACCAGCCAAGUAGCGUGAAGGAUGACUGCCCUACGGGUUGUAAACUUCUUUUAUAAAGGAAUACAGUGAGGCACGUGUGCCUUUUUGUAUGUACUUUAUGAAUAAGGAUCGGCUAACUCCGUGCCAGCAGCCGCGGUAAUACGGGGGUGCAGAGCGUUAUCCGGAUUUAUUGGGGUAAAAGGGUGCGGAGGCGGGUUAUCAAGUCAGCGGUAAAAUCGUGGGGCUCAACUCCACACAGCCGUUGAAACUGAUGAUCUUGAGUGGGCGAGAGGUAAGCGGAAUGCGUGGUGUAGCGGUGAAAUGCAUAGAUAUCACGCAGAACUCCGAUUGCGAAGGCAGCAUACCGGCGCCCGACUGACGCUGAAGCACGAAAGCGUGGGUAUCGAACAGGAUUAGAUACCCGAGUAGUC
rnacentral:rRNA from 1 species